rnacentral:rRNA from 1 species
AGUGAACGCUGGCGGUAGGCCUAACACAUGCAAGUCGAACGGCAGCACAGUAAGAGCUUGCUCUUACGGGUGGCGAGUGGCGGACGGGUGAGGAAUACAUCGGAAUCUACUUUUUCGUGGGGGAUAACGUAGGGAAACUUACGCUAAUGCCGCAUACGACCUACGGGUGAAAGCAGGGGAUCUUCGGACCUUGCGCGAUUGAAUGAGCCGAUGUCGGAUUAGCUAGUUGGCGGGGUAAAGGCCCACCAAGGCGACGAUCCGUAGCUGGUCUGAGAGGAUGAGCAGCCACACUGGAACUGAGACACGGUCCAGACUCCUGCGGGAGCCAGCAGUGGGGACUAGUGGACAAUGGGCGCCGGCUUGAUCCAGCCGUACCGCGGGGAAGAAGAAGGCCUUCGGGUUGUAACGCUGUUCUGUCGGUAAAAAAAAGAAGCAGGUGAACACCCCGCUUUCCGGCCGCCGCCCAAAGAAACAGAACCGCCCACCUUUGUU